rnacentral:rRNA from 1 species
AGACCCGAAACCCGGUGAUCUAGCCAUGGGCAGGUUGAAGGUUGGGUAACACUAACUGGAGGACCGAACCGACUAAUGUUGAAAAAUUAGCGGAUGACCUGUGGCUGGGGGUGAAAGGCCAAUCAAACCGGGAGAUAGCUGGUUCUCCCCGAAAGCUAUUUAGGUAGCGCCUCGUGAAUUCAUCUCCGGGGGUAGAGCACUGUUUCGGCUAGGGGGCCAUCCCGGCUUACCAACCCGAUGCAAACUGCGAAUACCGGAGAAUGUUAUCACGGGAGACACACGGCGGGUGCUAACGUCCGUCGUGAAGAGGGAAACAACCCAGACCGCCAGCUAAGGUCCCAAAGUCAUGGUUAAGUGGGAAACGAUGUGGGAAGGCCCAGACAGCCAGGAUGUUGGCUUAGAAGCAGCCAUCAUUUAAAGAAAGCGUAAUAGCUCACUGGUCGAGUCGGCCUGCGCGGAAGAUGUAACGGGGCUAAACCAUGCACCGAAGCUGCGGCAGCGAACGUAUCACCCAAGACAACUUUACGGAGUUGACGAUUGACGGAGCGAAGCGACGUCAAAGCGUUCAUUAAAGUCGAGUUGGCUUAGGGAUACGUUCGUUGGGUAGGGGAGCGUUCUGUAAGCCUGUGAAGGUGUGUCGUGAGGCAUGCUGGAGGUAUCAGAAGUGCGAAUGCUGACAUAAGUAACGAUAAAGCGGGUGAAAAGCCCGCUCGCCGGAAGACCAAGGGUUCCUGUCCAACGUUAAUCGGGGCAGGGUGAGUCGACCCCUAAGGCGAGGCCGAAAGGCGUAGUCGAUGGGAAACGGGUUAAUAUUCCCGUACUUGGUGUUACUGCGAAGGGGGGACGGAGAAGGCUAUGUUGGCCGGGCGACGGUUGUCCCGGUUUAAGCGUGUAGGUGUGUGUUCCAGGUAAAUCCGGUUCACUUUAACACUGAGGCGUGACGACGAGGCACUACGGUGCUGAAGCAACAAAUGCCCUGCUUCCAGGAAAAGCCUCUAAGCAUCAGGUAACACGAAAUCGUACCCCAAACCGACACAGGUGGUCAGGUAGAGAAUACCAAGGCGCUUGAGAGAACUCGGGUGAAGGAACUAGGCAAAAUGGUGCCGUAACUUCGGGAGAAGGCACGCUGACACGUAGGUGAAGUGAUUUACUCAUGGAGCUGAAGUCAGUCGAAGAUACCAGCUGGCUGCAACUGUUUAUUAAAAACACAGCACUGUGCAAACACGAAAGUGGACGUAUACGGUGUGACGCCUGCCCGGUGCCGGAAGGUUAAUUGAUGGGGUCAGCGUAAGCGAAGCUCCUGAUCGAAGCCCCGGUAAACGGCGGCCGUAACUAUAACGGUCCUAAGGUAGCGAAAUUCCUUGUCGGGUAAGUUCCGACCUGCACGAAUGGCGUAAUGAUGGCCAGGCUGUCUCCACCCGAGACUCAGUGAAAUUGAACUCGCUGUGAAGAUGCAGUGUACCCGCGGCAAGACGGAAAGACCCCGUGAACCUUUACUAUAGCUUGACACUGAACAUUGAGCCUUGAUGUGUAGGAUAGGUGGGAGGCUUUGAAGUGUGGACGCCAGUCUGCAUGGAGCCGACCUUGAAAUACCACCCUUUAAUGUUUGAUGUUCUAACGUGGACCCGUAAUCCGGGUUGCGGACAGUGUCUGGUGGGUAGUUUGACUGGGGCGGUCUCCUCCUAAAGAGUAACGGAGGAGCACGAAGGUUGGCUAAUCCUGGUCGGACAUCAGGAGGUUAGUGCAAUGGCAUAAGCCAGCUUGACUGCGAGCGUGACGGCGCGAGCAGGUGCGAAAGCAGGUCAUAGUGAUCCGGUGGUUCUGAAUGGAAGGGCCAUCGCUCAACGGAUAAAAGGUACUCCGGGGAUAACAGGCUGAUACCGCCCAAGAGUUCAUAUCGACGGCGGUGUUUGGCACCUCGAUGUCGGCUCAUCACAUCCUGGGGCUGAAGUAGGUCCCAAGGGUAUGGCUGUUCGCCAUUUAAAGUGGUACGCGAGCUGGGUUUAGAACGUCGUGAGACAGUUCGGUCCCUAUCUGCCGUGGGCGCUGGAGAACUGAGGGGGGCUGCUCCUAGUACGAGAGGACCGGAGUGGACGCAUCACUGGUGUUCGGGUUGUCAUGCCAAUGGCACUGCCCGGUAGCUAAAUGCGGAAGAGAUAAGUGCUGAAAGCAUCUAAGCACGAAACUUGCCCCGAGAUGAGUUCUCCCUGAGACUUAGAGUCUCCUGAAGGAACGUUGAAGACGACGACGUUGA